GAUCGUAAAACUCUGUUGUUAGAGAAGAACAAGGAUGAGAGUAACUGUUCAUCCCUUGACGGUAUCUAACCAGAAAGCCACGGCUAACUACGUGCCAGCAGCCGCGGUAAUACGUAGGUGGCAAGCGUUGUCCGGAUUUAUUGGGCGUAAAGCGAGCGCAGGCGGUUUCUUAAGUCUGAUGUGAAAGCCCCCGGCUCAACCGGGGAGGGUCAUUGGAAACUGGGAGACUUGAGUGCAGAAGAGGAGAGUGGAAUUCCAUGUGUAGCGGUGAAAUGCGUAGAUAUAUGGAGGAACACCAGUGGCGAAGGCGGCUCUCUGGUCUGUAACUGACGCUGAGGCUCGAAAGCGUGGGGAGCAAACAGGAUUAGAUACCCUGGUAGUCCACGCCGUAAACGAUGAGUGCUAAGUGUUGGAGGGUUUCCGCCCUUCAGUGCUGCAGCUAACGCAUUAAGCACUC
rnacentral:rRNA from 1 species